UACGUAGGGGGCUAGCGUUGUCCGGAAUCAUUGGGCGUAAAGAGCGUGUAGGCGGUCCGGUAAGUCCGCUGUGAAAGUCGGGGGCUCAACCCUCGAAUGCCGGUGGAUACUGUCGGGCUAGAGUGCGGAAGAGGCGAGUGGAAUUCCUGGUGUAGCGGUGAAAUGCGCAGAUAUCGGGAGGAACACCAGUAGCGAAGGCGGCACUCUGGGCCGUGACUGACGCUGAGGAGCGAAAGCGUGGGUAGCAAACAGG
rnacentral:rRNA from 1 species